CGAGAAAGCCCGCAAGGGUGAGUAAAGCGGCGCACGGGUGCGUAACACGUGGGUAAUCUGCCCUGGAGCCCGGAAUAACUUCCCGAAAGGGAUGCUAAUGCCGGAUGAGACCACGGGAGCUCCGGCUCCUGAGGGAAAAGGUGGCCUCUGUACACAAGCUAUCACUCCAGGAUGAGCCCGCGGCCCAUCAGCUAGUUAGCGGGGUAACGGCCCACCAAGGCUACGACGGGUAGCUGGUCUGAGAGGACGAUCAGCCACACUGGAACUGAGACACGGUCCAGACUCCUACGGGUGGCAGCAGUGGGGAAUCUUGCGCAAUGGGCGAAAGCCUGACGCAGCAACGCCGCGUGUGUGAUGAAGGUCUUCGGAUCGUAAAGCACUGUCGCGAGGGACG
rnacentral:rRNA from 1 species